rnacentral:ncRNA from 1 species
UUGAGCCGUGUGCGGUGUAAAGUCGCUCGCACGGUUCUGAGGGGGGAAAGGGGUAGAAAUACCCCCGCCCUACCCGAC